GUAGAUUCUCCUUCUAUGAGUACAUUAUUUACGAUUAAUCAUAGAGGAAAAUCCACGU
rnacentral:pre_miRNA from 1 species